GAAGAAGGAAGCAACAUCACAGUUGCAUGUUCAUUUAGAUGGUCUGGAAGCAGGAAGUUCUUCUGUAGGGAAACCUGUGAAGGAGAAAAUAUCCUCAUUGAAACAACAGAAGACAGUUUUCAGAAAGGAAGAUACAGCAUUCAGUAUAUAAAAAAAGAUUCUCUAACAAAUGAUAGAAUGUAUGUGAGCAUCACUGGGCUGAAAAAGUCGGACUCAGGACGGUACCGGUGUCAGUCUGAUAAAACGUGGGCUGGAACUCUACAUGAUGAUUUUGAUGUUGUCGUGACUGAAGGUGAGUUUUCUCCUGAAAAUCUUCCUUCAUGUCUCUGAAAGAAAACUCUGCUGACUGACAGCUGGUUCUGAUCCAAAUAACCUCAGGCAGGAAACUGGGUUUAAAUAGUUCUGAUGGUUUUAACUGAUCUAAAUCAUUCAAAAUGUUCAAACUGUGACUCACGCAGACAAACAUCUUCAUCGGUGUCAUGAAUAUGAAAUAUUAUUGUCAGCUUUAAACUCAGUGGUUCUGAUUCUGUUUAACGGCUCACAGCUUCAACCUCCUCAGAACCAGACUGGACUCUGCAAACUUCUACAUCAACAUUUCUGUCAUCAGCUUCUGUAACAACAGCAACAACAGCAGCUUCAACACAAAGGCUGAGUUCCUCUUCUUCCUCCUCAUCUACAACCAGCCAACAGACCAGAACAUCAACCGGACCCAAAGGUCUGCUGCUUUAUGUGGUUCUGACUCUGGUCGCUAAGAUCAUCUUAUUAUCAACACCUUUGGUGAUUUUUUGCUGGAAGAGGAGACUCACUAAAAGCAAAGAUCCUGCUGUGGAAACAGAGUCGCUGCCGUCUCUCUGACCAACCCAGAGGUAAUCAGAGUGGGACUGACUGAUCAAAUCAUCUGCUGAGAAAUAUCUUCAGUUUAGACGUGAACUAAACUCUGAAACAAUCAGAGCUCAAACUACAGACGAGGAACAUUUCCUCUGAUUUUUACAACAAAAUAAGUCAAUCUGUGUCAGGAUUUUAGCGCUGAGCUCAAAGCAAACAAAACAAAUUUAAAUACUUCUUAAAGUUCAGCAGAAUUACUUCUUGCGGUUUUAUGGAUUAUUUUGACCAAGAUUCUAAUGGCUUAGUGCUAAAUAUAGUAAAACAAUUUUAUUAACAUAUAAAACAAUAAAUGACUGAUGACACUUCUGGUUUAACUCCUUUGUCAUUGUCAGAGUUUCAGAGCUGCUUGCUCUAGGAUGAAUACGGUGAAUUUUCAGGUCAUUUUAUAAUUUUUUAAAGGCAGUUGGUUAGAGUAAUUUUCUAUAAUCUACUCAGUCUUCUGUGAGUAAAUUAGUUUUUUGGACACCAAUAAAUCUUAUGCACCACAUGAGGUUGCUAAGAGUAAUUUUUGAUCAGUGGUCAUCAUUUAUCAUGUCUAAUCAGAGUCAUCUGGUCCAAUCAUCAGAGCAGUAGAAUAUAUUCAGCACUGUUGCCUUGGAGCAAGACGGUCCUGUGUUAGAAUCCCGCCCCUGGGUCUUUCUGGGUGUUCUCUCUGUGCUUCAUUAU